rnacentral:rRNA from 1 species
AGUGAACGCUGGCGGUAGGCCUAACACAUGCAAGUCGAACGGCAGCACAGUAAGAGCUUGCUCUUACGGGUGGCGAGUGGCGGACGGGUGAGGAAUACAUCGGAAUCUACUUUUUCGUGGGGGAUAACGUAGGGAAACUUACGCUAAUACCGCAUACGACCUACGGGUGAAUGCAGGGGAUCUUCGGACCUUGCGCGAUUGAAUGAGCCGAUGUCGGAUUAGCUAGUUGGCGGGGUAAAGGCCCACCAAGGCGACGAUCCGUAGCUGGUCUGAGAGGAUGAUCAGGCACACUGGAACUGAGACACGGUCCAGACUCCUACGGGAGGCAGCAGUGGGGAAUAUUGGACUAUGGGAGCAUGCCUGAUCCAGCCAUACCGCGUGGGUGAAGAAGGCCUUCGGGUUGUAAAGCCCUUUUGUUGGGAAAGAAAAGCAGCAGGUUAAUACCCCGCUGUUCUGACGGUACCCAAAGAAUAAGCACCGGCUAACUUCGUG